rnacentral:rRNA from 1 species
UACAGAGGUCCCAAGCGUUACUGAGAAUCACUGGGUUUAAAGGGUGCGUAGGUGGUCCGUUAAGUUUGUUGUGAAAUCCCCGGGCUCAACCCGGGGAAUUGCUUCGAAUACUGGCGGACUUGAGUCCUGUAGGGGUCACUGGAACAGACGGUGGAGCGGUGAAAUGCGUAGAUAUCGUCUGGAACGCCUGUGGUGAAGACGGGUGACUGGGCAGGUUCUGACACUGAGGCACGAAAGCGUGGGGAGCGAACGGG